rnacentral:pre_miRNA from 1 species
AAAAAGACAAACCCUAGGUUUUCGUGUCCAACGUUUGACUGUCUGUCUUAUAUGAAUUUUUUUUAUAAUUAGUAUUUUCAUUGUUGUUAGAUGAUAAAACAUGAUUAAUACUUUAUGCGUGACUUGUCUUUUUAAUUUUUUUCAUAUUUUUUUCAAAUAAGACGGACGGUCAAAUGUUGGACACGGAAACCCAGAGUUUGUCUUUUU